GAACGCUUGUGGUCUCGCCAGCUGCUCUGCAAUUGUGGCAGCAGCCAGCAGAGAUGGGAGGCGGUGGGCCUGCCCCGCUCCAAGUUGGACUUUCUGCUUGGAGGGCGUGACUUCUCAGCUUGACCUGAGAGUCGAGGGUCUCUCUGUGUUGUCCAGGCUGGUCUUGAACUCCUUGCCUCAAACAAUCCUCCUGCCUCAAUUUCCCACAAUGUUGAGAUGACAGGCAUGAGCCACUGUGGCCGGCCUCACUGGGGCUCUUUGAAGUCUCCCCAGUCACUGGUUUGAUUCUCACCUACACAGUUUUAAGAUUCCUUCAACCUCAGGAUUCCUGAUCAUCUCAUCAACCAACUUAAGAAAACUGAGGCCCAGGGAAGUGACUCACAAUUGUGUAGAAUUGUGAGGUGCCUUGACUACUGGACAGGUCAACCUUCCUCAAAGGUGACAGUCUGACACCAGCAUGGGCUUCAACAAGAAUACAAGAAGAUACAGGCUGGUGCCCUUGGAAGCUUGGCUUACUCAGACCAGACUCAGGAUGGCCUUCCCAGGACCCUGUGGGAACCGAGGAACCCUGGCUUCCCAGAUCCAGUGACCAAGAAAAAAAUUAACCCUCUUCACAAAGAGGCGUUGUUUGCUUUUCAAGGCCAUGCCGCCUCUUGUUUUCAGCAUAAGCGACUGUAACAAUAUUUGCGACGUCAAGGCCAAUGCCACUUCUGUCCUGGGGACCGAGAAACUCUGUGAGAUGGAUAAACUUACUCGAGAUGGAUAAAAUUAGACUACAUCCAUUCUGUGUCUCUUAGUCCCCACUUCACAGAUAUAAAAAGAGAGGCACAGAGAGGUUAAAUAAAUUGCUAAUCAU